CAAAAUCGUAAUUUCCCCCGCCGUCUUGGUCAGGUCUGUCGGGUGACGGACGAAUUUUUUUUCCGCAAUCACACACACACACACACCUCUCUCUCCUUCUCGACGCUAUCGUUUCGUCAGCUACGUCUUCUUCUCUACAUUCCAAAACCCUAAUUAGUGUUAUUGUUUUUCCAUCUUCCUAUUGAAAUCACUCGACUGAUUUUGUUGCGGACCGAUGCUCGUGUGAGAUUCUGCAUACUGCUUAAAAAUCAGGAAGGAGGAAGCUCUGCAUUGAUAUGCUCAAUAGUAGCGUCUGUAUUCAUCAUGAUUUUUUUUAUUUAAUUUUCUGCCAAAGGUCCAGCAAUGCAAUUAGUAAAGCAUGAUAUUCGGGCAGAGGAUUCAUCAGAAACAGAGCCCAUUUUAUCACAGCCUAGUAUAGCAGAAAGAUUAGAAGAAUCUUCUUCCUCAAUUGAAAUAACUGUGGGUGUGGAAUCUUCUGUAGCUUCUGAGCAUCCAUCAGUUCCCGAAAUUGAUGAGAGUAUUUCUCUAGUUUGCACAGACCAACCGCAGUGCCGCAUCUGCCUUGAUGCUGAAGGAGAAGAUUUAAUAGCUCCAUGCCAUUGCAAAGGAACCCAAAAGUAUGUCCACAGAUCUUGUCUUGAUAAUUGGAGGUCGACAAAGGAGGGCUUUGCUUUUGCUCACUGUACAGAAUGCAGGGCAAAGUUCAUAUUGCGGGCGAAUGUCCCUCCUGAUCGUUGGUGGUUGAGGUUAAAAUUUCAAUUUCUCGUUGCAAGGGACCACGCGAUCAUUUUUGUUAUUGUUCAGCUGGUUGUUGCAUUUCUAGGUGUGCUGGUGUACAAAUUUUAUGGAGAAGAACUACGGGAGAUGUUUGGUUAUGAGGAACAUCCAUAUGGAUUUUAUACUAUGGCUGUUCUGGCUAUUGUUCUGGUGGGUUUGCUCUAUGGCUUCUUCAUUGCAAUAAUAUGCGGUCAGAGGAUCAACGAACGGCACUACCACGUUCUUGCCAAGCAGGAAUUGACAAAGGAGUAUGUGGUAGAAGACCGCGAAGCUAACAAGGAUGUGUCGGAACUUGAUCCCAGCCAUGUGACCGAGCUAAGAAUGCUAGGCCUCUAUUGAGCGCUAAUAGGUCACGAAGAUGGCGUUGAAGGCAUUCUACAACGAGAUCAAGGGCUUGAAGGUGAAAGAUUUGCCGGCGCACCUCAAACCCUAUCUCAACGUUAAAAGCGUGAAGAACGCCGGUAAGCUUUGCAUGGCCGGCCGAUUAUUGCGCCAAAUACAUCGAGACCAUUUCCGGUGACCCGAUUUAUCAUGUCUGCUUCGGCGGAACGGCAUUAUCCUAUCUCAUCGCCCUCCCCAAGUUGCGCCGCGAACACGAGCGCAAAAACGCCGAGCUAUGGAAGAUGGCUUUUGAUUCUGAGCCUCCAUCAUUUGGAAACCAGGUUGAAGCAAGUAUCCGGGCGGCUUUAUUUCACUAGCUAGCUCGUAUUUCUCUAGUUACUAGUUAUAUACUUGAACCUUUUUGGAACGAAUUGGUGCAAAUAAGUCAUGUUGUUGAGUUUGGGAUUUGAGCUCACUCUUUUCUUUUCUUUUGUUUGUUUCUUGUUGAACUUACAUUGAACUAUCCAUAGCAACGGUUCAAAGGGAUGUCAUGUCUUUAAAUACAUGUACUGCUUCGCUUCGGAAAAGAAGUAAUAUGUUUUUUGAUUGUCGAACAAA